rnacentral:rRNA from 1 species
AAUUAACGCUGGCAGAGUGCAUAACACAUGCAAGUCGAGCGAGGUGGCGGAUUAUCGCGCCUAGCGGCAAACGAGUGAGUAACACGUAAGCAACCUACCCUCGAGUGACGAAUAACGCACCGAAAGGUGUGCUAAUACGUCGUAUUAUCUUUUGGCGGCAUCGUCGAAAGAUGAAAGGCCCGCAAGGGCCGUUCAAGGAGGGGCUUGCGUCCCAUCAGCUAGUUGGCGGUGUAACGGACCACCAAGGCUAUGACGGGUACCCGGCCUGAAAGGGCGGACGGGCACGAAGGCACUGCGACACGGGCCUUACUCCUACGGGAGGCAGCAGUGGGGAAUUUUGGACAAUGGGGGAAACCCGUGAUCCAGCAACUCUGCGUGAGGGACGAAGUUCUUCGGAAUGUAAACCUCUUUUAUCGGGGAAGAACGGCGCAAGGCCUUGACGGUACCCGGUGAAUAAGCCACGGCUAACUAUGUGCCAGCCGCCGCCGUAAU